GGGAUGUCUUGACUUCUUCACUGAGGUCUUCUGCUGGGGUUCAUCUUGCCCCAGAUAUCUCUAGCACUCUGGUAAGAAAAAAAGCCAAUAUAAAUUAAAAAGCACAUCAUCAUUAUGGUCAUAACAAGAUGAAUCAAUUUUCACAUUCUGUGUGUGAUCUAUUUUGCAGGGCAGAGAGUGUCAGAGAUUACGUUGCGGCGUUUCUAGGUAACUUGAGAUUGGGGUCAUAUUCUGACCAAGGGCAGAACGGCAGGUGCUGAGGACUUGAAGGUCAGUUCUGCUGUUUCCUGGCUGGGCAAUCCUGGCCAGCUCCUUACGUCUCUGAGCUCUGAGGUCCCUUGCGCAUGAGACAGGGAUGUUUGCACAGGGAUCUGCACGUAGUAGGUGCUCAGUAAAUGCUCUCCCAGGAAGGAGGGGCUCAGAGGAUGGACAGCAGCCUGCCUGGGAUUAAGUCCCAGGACCAUCAUGGCCUGGACAGUGGCUUUGGAGUCACUAGUUCCCUCUGGGACUCAGUUUCCCUUUCUGUACCAUGUUCAAAUUCCCAGAUAGUGAGACCCAGUGGGGAAGGUACGUCAGGGCCCCAGGGACGGAGUGUGCUUGGGCUGUGGUGUUCAAGACCCAGGCCCUUGGAUCUUCUCAGCCUCAGGCAUGGUUCUUAGCCUCUCGAUACCUUAGUUUUCUUAUCUGGGGGUUGGGGAUAAGGGACUUCUACUACACAGAGCCGUGUGCGGG
rnacentral:lncRNA from 10 species